rnacentral:rRNA from 1 species
UCAGGACGAACGCUGGCGGCGUGCCUAAUACAUGCAAGUCGAACGGUCUUUCUAUGGAAGCUUGCUUCCACUGAGAAGAUAGUGGCGAACGGGUGAGUAACACGUGGGUAACCUGCCCAUAAGAGGGGGAUAACAUCCGGAAACGGGUGCUAAUACCGCAUAGUUUUCUUGAUCGCAUGAUUGAGAAAGGAAAGACGGCCUUUGUGCUGUCGCUUAUGGAUGGACCCGCGGCGUAUUAGUUAGUUGGUGAGGUAACGGCUCACCAAGACGAUGAUACGUAGCCGACCUGAGAGGGUGAUCGGCCACAUUGGGACUGAGACACGGCCCAAACUCCUACGGGAGGCAGCAGUAGGGAAUCUUCCGCAAUGGACGAAAGUCUGACGGAGCAACGCCGCGUGAGUGAAGAAAGGUUUUCGGAUCGUAAAACUCUGUUGUCAGAGAAGAACAAGUUGGAGAGUAACUGCUCCAGCCUUGACGGUAUCUGACCAGAAAGCCACGGCUAACUACGUGCCAGCAGCGGC